GGUGGGGUUCCCGAGCGGCCAAAGGGAGCAGGCUGUAAAUCUGCCGUCAUCGACUUCGAAGGUUCGAAUCCUUCCCCCACCACCA
rnacentral:tRNA from 6 species